rnacentral:rRNA from 1 species
UACGGAGGUGGCAAGCGUUGCUCGGAAUCACUGGGCGUAAAGGGCGCGUAGGCGGGGAGGUAAGUCGGGUGUGAAAUCCCUCGGCCCAACCGAGGAACUGCGCCCGAGACUGCUUCUCUUGAGUCCCGGAGAGGAAGAUGGAAUUCCCGGUGUAGCGGUGAAAUGUGUAGAGAUCGGGAGGAACACCGGUGGCGAAGGCGGUCUUCUGGACGGUGACUGACGCUGAGGCGCGAAAGCGUGGGGAGCAAGCGGG